rnacentral:rRNA from 1 species
UACGUAGGGGGCAAGCGUUGUCCGGAUUUAUUGGCGUAAAGAGCGUGUAGGCGGCCAUGUAGGUCCGUUGUGAAACUCGAGGCUCAACCUCGAGACGCCGAUGGAAACCAUGUGGCUAGAGUCCGGAAGAGGAGAGUGGAAUUCCUGGUGUAGCGGUGAAAUGCGCAGAUAUCAGGAAGAACACCCGUGGCUAAGGCGGCUCUCUAGUACGGUACUGACGCUGAGACGCGAAAGCGUGGGGAGCGAACAGG